rnacentral:lncRNA from 1 species
GCAAAUUAAUAAUCUAGGUUCAACCAAAAUAGCUGCCCAGGAAUAGUCUGAAUGUCAAGCCUAAACAGCUAGAAAAUAGUAUGUUUAUACUGUCAGUGUAAAGAUGUGUUCUUAUUUCAGCUCAUAUUAGCCAAGAUUCACUGCAGUGAUUCUUUUGAGAGGGUGUAAUUCUAUGGAUCACUGUGAUCCAGCCAAGCCUACUAGUAAAAGUCAAGAAUUUUUGUCCUAUAUAAAAUUAAAUUGGAUUAAAAUUUAAUGAUUUGAGUAUCCAACAGCAAGCAGAAGUACUGAAUUAUUUGGUCCAUUUAAUUUACUGUGACUCAUUUGCUUGAGGAAAGAUCAGGUUCUGGUGAACAUAUAGAAGAAGCAGGCUCUAUGAAUUGUUUCAAUUUUCUCUAUUACCUCUAUCUUGUUUUAGUUUAUCUGUACACAGCAAUGCUUUACCCAUCUCUAACUACAACUGAUGAGUUUAUGAGAUGUCCAUGUACAGGUUUAAUCUGAAAGAGAUGUUCAUUUGCAAUGGGUCCCGCAACUUGUGUUGGCCACAAGUUCUUUCUCUGCCUUAGCAGAUUGAAGGCAGUUGACUCCGCUUACAUGAAUGGCUCAUCACUAUGCAUGCAAAAAGGAACAGAGCUCAGAAGGAAAGUCAUCAGACAUCCGUGGCACAGUUAUAAAGGGAGAAGUUGGAAGGAAGUUGUGAGCACUAAGCCAGACCAUAAAUAAAUGUCAAAGGAAAACCAUGGAAAGCUAAAAGAUCCUUCUUUCAUUUUGCCUAGUUGGGGAAUAUUUAUUCUUAGCACCUGCUGACAGCACAGAAGAGGCAUCUGUAUCCAAUUUGUGUUUUAAGUUCAGCAGGUGACAUUGAGAACAUUGUAUAAACAUAUGUCAAAGAGAUAGAGUUUAAUUCCUAUUAUAAAUAUAGAAUACUUAGGUUUCUA